rnacentral:rRNA from 1 species
AACCCAAUAGCUAGCCCCC